AGGACUUGACAUCCCGCGAACUCCUCUGAAAGGAGGAGGUGCCCGCAAGGGAGCGCGGAGACAGGUGGUGCAUGGCUGUCGUCAGCUCGUGUCGUGAGAUGUUGGGUUAAGUCCCGCAACGAGCGCAACCCUCACCCCUUGUUGCUACCAGGUAAUGCUGGGCACUCUAGGGGAACUGCCCCGGUCAACGGGGAGGAAGGCGGGGAUGACGUCAAGUCAUCAUGCCCCUUACGUCCUGGGCUACACACGUGCUACAAUGGCCGGUACAAAGGGAUGCGAGACCGCGAGGUGGAGCUAAACCCAAAAAGCCGGUCUAAGUUCAGAUUGGAGUCUGCAACUCGACUCCAUGAAGGAGGAAUCGCUAGUAAUCGCGCAUCAGCACGGCGCGGUGAAUACGUUCCCGGGCCUUGUACACACCGCUCGUCACACCACGAAAGCCAGCUGUACUCGAAGUCGC
rnacentral:rRNA from 1 species